GAUGAACGCUGGCGGCGUGCCUAAUACAUGCAAGUCGAGCGAACAGAUGAGGAGCUUGCUCCUCUGACGUUAGCGGCGGACGGGUGAGUAACGCGUGGAUAACCUACCUAUAAGACUGGGAUAACUUCGGGAAACCGGAGCUAAUACCGGAUAAUAUAUUGAACCGCAUGGUUCAAUAGUGAAAGACGGUUUUGCUGUCACUUAUAGAUGGAUCCGCGCCGCAUUAGCUAGUUGGUAAGGUAACGGCUUACCAAGGCAACGAUGCGUAGCCGACCUGAGAGGGUGAUCGGCCACACUGGAACUGAGACACGGUCCAGACUCCUACGGGAGGCAGCAGUAGGGAAUCUUCCGCAAUGGGCGAAAGCCUGACGGAGCAACGCCGCGUGAGUGAUGAAGGUCUUCGGAUCGUAAAACUCUGUUAUUAGGGAAGGACAAAUGUGUAAGUAACUAUGCACGUCUUGACGGUACCUAAUCAGAAAGCCACGGCUAACUACGUG
rnacentral:rRNA from 1 species